GACGAACGCUGGCGGCGUGCCUAAUACAUGCAAGUCGAGCGAACAGACGAGGAGCUUGCUCCUCUUGCGUUAGCGGCGGACGGGUGAGUAACACGUGGAUAACCUACCUAUAAGACUGGGAUAACUUCGGGAAACCGGAGCUAAUACCGCAUAAUAUAUUGUACCGCAUGGUUCAAUAGUGAAAGACGCAUUUGCUGCCACUUAUAGAUGAAUUGCGGUGGCAUUGGCUGGUUGGUAGGUUAACGGCCUACCAAGGCACCGAGGCUAAGCCGACCGGGAGGGGGGAUCGGCAACACUGGAAUGGGGCCAGGGCCAGGCUCCUUAGGGGAGGAAGCAGAAGGGAAUCUUGGGCAAUGGGGGAAAGCCUGACGGAGCAAGGCGGGGGGGGUGAGGAGGGUUUUGGGUUGGAAAACUCCGGUUAUUGGGAAAGAAGAGAGGUAGAGGGAAAUAUGCACGUCUUGACGGUACCUAAUCAGAAAGCCACGGCUAACUACGUG
rnacentral:rRNA from 1 species